rnacentral:rRNA from 1 species
UACGAAGGGGGCUAGCGUUGCUCGGAAUUACUGGGCGUAAAGAGCGUGUAGGCGGCCAUACAGGUCAGCUGUGAAAACUCGAGGCUCAACCUCGAGACGUCGGUUGAAACCGUAUGGCUAGAGUCCGGAAGAGGAGAGUGGAAUUCCCGGUGUAGCGGUGAAAUGCGCAGAUAUCGGGAAGAACACCCGUGGCGAAGGCGGCUCUCUGGGACGGUACUGACGCUGAGACGCGAAAGCGUGGGGAGCGAACAGG